rnacentral:lncRNA from 1 species
CAAUCGGCGAACAUAAGACGUAAUGUGGACGUUAAGUUUACAGAAUAUAUAAAGAACAUGCAACGUCGUUGUUGGUAAUGGCUUCAGGCACACAAAUUUUCCGGUUGGUGCCAUUUAAUGGUCCUCCAUUUUACUUGGACUUUAAACCGAAGUAGAAAUAUUAGAAAAGAAAAUGCACUACAAAUAACAAUAGCUUUUGUAGUGAAAAUUAUGCCAUUGGGAUUGGGUUACGAACAGCCUUGUACGUUUAGAAAUAAAUAUAGUACAGAUAAAUUUCUGUUGCUGUAAAUAAAUACAAGAUAAAAAGAAGCAUUACAAAUGCAUUGGGAUACAUUACAAAUUGCAGCCAUUCAAAACAUCGAGGGAGACAAAAAUAACCAAAUAUUUGUUUUGACAAUGGAGUAAAAAAAGACGUCCAUCAAGUUGGCGUGAAAUUGAACCUUCUCAAUCAAUUUUCAAAAAUAUACAUUUUUUUCAUGAACA